CUCCCCAGUCUCUGUGUUUUGCUGAUGUGAAGAAAGGGGUGCAGGAAGAGGGAGGUCUACCACAGGGCUGUAGACAGCUGGGACCGGUCAUUGACGGGUAGAGAGGGACCCUUAUUUUAGAGGACACUGCAUUUCCUGUCUGUCACAAUAAUGCAUUAUGAGCUCCACUUCCUGUUUCUCAGGCCUGAGAGGAAGGAACAGGGCGCUUGUCACACGAUAUUCAUGGCUUCCUACCAGAAGGACAGUCGACUACACCUUGAACAUCGCAGCAGGAUGUGCAUGGUUAUUUUUAGUGUCGGAAAGGGAGGCAGCAGGCUGGAGACUAAGCUGUCUGGGGCCUUUGGCGGACUCUCUCUCUCCACCAGAAGCCCGUGCCAUAUUGUGACCUUCAGCCAGAGCAGACUGAAUCAUCGACAGUGGGAACAGAUUGAGUGAGCAGAUGAGCCGUAUGUAGCCGGGCAGAGGGCAGGCCUGCGGAAUAGUACUCAAAUACCCCUGUGCCAAUCUGUACAACUGGCAUCAAAUGGACUGUUUCGCACCCAGGCCUUUAACCCCCUAAGGUUGAUGUCUGCGCCCCCAUGAAAAUCUAAUUAGUAUAAUACAAAAAAAUCACAAUAAAAAUCUGUCAGUUUAAGCUAGAGAUAUGUUUUGUUGCGUUGGACGUGUCUCAAUCCACCAUAUCCGCCUAUGUCGCACUUCCGCAUCUCCAGUGAAAGAUAACAGAUCUAGUGGUGUUUGUCAGUCCAUGAGACAUCACUACAAAUCUGUCUUCUCACAAAACCGUCUAUAGCAUCUGAACGCUUUGACCUACAAACAUGGUGUUCUCCGUUUUGCUCCACAAGUGUCAGGAGCCUCGUCUGAAGUCGGUAUAGCUGAUCUGCCAACUUCUGUCUGUAGCGUCCGAACCGUUUGGGCUACACACUAAAAUGACCCCUCUCUGCAAAGGUGAGACUCUCACAAACAUUUGCUCUAGGACGCCCACAGGCCUCACAAGACUCAACUGAAACACCUGUCCCCCGGGACCAGUUGAAAAUAUGAAUGGAAGUACAGUACCAGUCAAAAGUUUGGACCUACCUACUCAUUCUAGGGUUUUUCUUUAUUUUUACUAUUUUUUUUUUUUUGCCCACCCCUGGCAUAUAUGAAGACUGUUUAAUGCCAAAAAAUAUGGGUUUCUUUCAUAUAUAGGAGAGACACUUCAGAAUAUACUUCUAUUUUAUUUGUUUUUGGGACUGUUGUUCAAUGUAGUGAAUCUGUUAUUCAAUGUGUUUGUAUGGGCUAAUAGCAGUAAGACCCCAAAAAAUGUUUCAUCAAUGUGUUUUUUUGAUACUCCAAGGGGUCUUAAAAUUCUAAAUGAAAUCGCUAAAUGAUCCUUGGUAUGACAAUGGCCAUGUUCUGUUAUAAUCUCCACCCGGCAUAGCCAGAAGAGGACUGGCCACCCCUCAUAGGCUGGUUCCUCUCUAGGUUUUGGCCUUUCUAGGGAGUUUUUCCUAGCCACCGUGCUUCUACACCUGAAUUGUUUUAGGCUUGGUUUCUGUACAUCACUUUGACAUCAGCUGAUGUAAGACAGGCUUUAUAAAUACAUUUGAUUGAUUGGUUAUGACCUUCUUAAAAUUCCAUAUAGCUUAGUAACCCCCCAACCCAAUUGAACAAUUAUGGGAGAUUCUGGAGCAGUGCUUGAGACAGCGUUCUCUACCACCAUCAACAAAACAACAAAUGAUGGAAUUUCUCGUGGAAGAAUGGUGUUGCUUGCAUCCCUCCAAUAGAGUUCCAGACACUUGUAGAUUCUAUACCAAGACGCAUGGAAGCUGUUCUGAUGGCUUGUGGUGAC
ensembl:lncRNA